rnacentral:rRNA from 1 species
AUUGAACGCUGGCGGCAUGCUUUACACAUGCAAGUCGAACGGUAACAGGGUGCUUGCACCGCUGACGAGUGGCGAACGGGUGAGUAAUGCGUCGGAACGUGCCGAGUAGUGGGGGAUAACGCAGCGAAAGUUGUGCUAAUACCGCAUACGUACUGAGGUAGAAAGUGGGGGACCUUCGGGCCUCACGCUAUUCGAGCGGCCGACGUCUGAUUAGCUAGUCGGUGAGGUAAAGGCCCACCUAGGCGACGAUCAGUAGCGGGUCUGAGAGGAUGAUCCGCCACACUGGGACUGAGACACGGCCCAGACUCCUACGGGAGGCAGCAGUGGGGAAUUUUGGACAAUGGGCGAAAGCCUGAUCCAGCCAUGCCGCGUGUCCGAAGAAGGCCUUCGGGUUGUAAAGGACUUUUGUCGGGGAGGAAAUCCCCAGCGUUAAUACCGCUGGGGGAUGACAGUACCUGAAGAAUAAGCACCGGCUAACUACGUGCCAGCCGCCGCCGUAACAC